GUGGGGAAUAUUGGGCAAUGGGGGAAACCCUGACCCAGCAACGCCGCGUGAGGGAAGAAGGCUUUCGAGUUGUAAACCUCUGUCCUAUGGGAAGAAGAAGUGACAGUACCAUAGGAGGAAGCUCCGGCUAACUACGUGCCAGCAGCCGCGGUAAUACGUAGGGAGCAAGCGUUGUCCGGAAUUACUGGGCGUAAAGGGUGCGUAGGCGGCGCAGUGAGUCAGAAGUGAAAUAUCGGGGCUUAACCCCGGGGCUGCUUCUGAUACUGCUGUGCUUGAGUGCAGGAGAGGUAAGCGGAAUUCCUAGUGUAGCGGUGAAAUGCGUAGAUAUUAGGAGGAACACCAGUGGCGAAGGCGGCUUACUGGACUGUAACUGACGCUGAAGCACGAAAGCGUGGGUAGCAAACAGGAUUAGAAACCCCAGUAGUCC
rnacentral:rRNA from 1 species